rnacentral:lncRNA from 1 species
UUUUUUUUUUUUUUUUUGAGACAAGGUCUUGCUAUAUCACCCAGGCUGGUCUUGAACUCCUGAGCUCAAGCGAUCCUCCUGCCUCAGCCUCCUGAGUAGCUGGGAACACAGGUGCGUGCCACCAUGCCUGGCUCCCAGUUUUCACAGACAAGGACACUGAGAGGAAACACAGGAAAAGCAGUGCUGCCUUUCCCAAGGACAAACAGUCAGGAAGAGGACUGGAAUCCUGGUCUGCCUGAUUCCCAAGCUCUCUGUGGUUUCCCAUCCUGAGCUGACCAAGAUUUAGGGCCACUAUGGGAAUGGCAUCAUCGAGUGAUGUCACUGAUGAUUAGUGAUUUCAUACAUGAUGUCACAGACUGAACACAGUGGCAAGGUUUCUAGACAGCAUGGCUUAUACUUCUCAGGAAAGCUUCCCAAAGCAAGGCCAGGCACUGUUAGUCUUUGGCCCACCACAGAGCGUUCAGAAAGUGAGGAUUCCUCACACUCUCCUUUAAAUUAGUGCCUGGCUCCAAAGCUGGCUGUGCUCAUUCCCAGGCAGUGAGCCCUCGACACCACUCAAGGGCUCACCCUCUGUGGAACAGUGAAAGGAGGAUGGGCUAGGGAAACAGACAGGCUUGGGUUCCGAUCCUGGCUCUGUCACUCUGUACCCAUUUGAGGUAGACUCUUACGGGAAAAGAGACCCCUUGAGUUAGCUCAGGCACAGAAGCUUAGUAUAAAAAUACAUGCGGAACCACUUCUGGCCUGUCAGGAAACUCCAGGGGCAGGUGCUGAAGCUGGGGAGAAUCUGGAUUCAAGACUCCUCAGGGAGGCCAAGCAUGGUGGCUCAUGCCUGUAAUCCCAGCACUUUGGGAGGCCGAGGUAGGCGGAUCACGAGGUCAGAAGAUCAAGACCAGCCUAGCCAACAUGGUGAAACCCAGUCUCUACUAAAAUACAAAAAUUAGCCGGGCGUGGUGACACGUGCCUGUAGUCCCAGCUACUCGGGAGGCUGAGGCAGGGGAAUCACUUAAACCUGGGAAGUGGAGGUUGCAGUAAGCAAAGGUCGCGCCACUGUCCUCCAGCCUGGCGAUAGAAUAAGACUCCGUCUCAAAAGAAAAAAAAAAAGACUCCUCAGGAGCUCUUCAGAAAUGAAAAGGUCUUCCUUCUCAGGCUCUGCCUGCCUGCCCUCAAUGUGAUUCUGCCACACUGGGCGCAUCUGCAUCUCUUCCAGGCUGUGCUCCCUGCUGGGGAAUUCUGCUUCAGGUUGAGGUUACUAAGAGGGAAUCCUAUUGGCCAGCUGUCUUUCCGCACCAGGCAAUAAGUCAGAGGAGACUGGCUAGCCCAUGGAUCAACGGG